rnacentral:rRNA from 1 species
UGGCGACCGGCGCACGGGUGCGUAACGCGUAUGCAACCUACCUUUAACAGGGGGAUAACACUGAGAAAUUGGUACUAAUUCCCCAUAAUAUUCGGAGAGGCAUCUCUCCGGGUUGAAAACUCCGGUGGUUAUAGAUGGACAUGCGUUGUAUUAGCUAGUUGGUGAGGUAACGGCUCACCAAGGCAACGAUACAUAGGGGGACUGAGAGGUUAACCCCCCACACUGGUACUGAGACACGGACCAG